GUCGCCGUCUCCUUCUUGAAGCCCCUCUACCUGCUCCUGCUACCACGGCUUCCUACGUGGGCUACCGGAUACGGACAAGCCUAGACACUGGCUCCUGACACACACAAUUUUGAAGAUCCUACCUUUGGAUCACAAAGACCCGAGCCCUCCCUUUAUAGAUCUGGCCCCGUCCCAUCUCUGAAUGCCCUUGGUCUUCUCUGCUCUCAGUGUGAAACCAAGAAAAAGCCCAAUGGAUUAUUCUAAAAGCUGUGGUGCUCAGAAUCUAAUGGGCUGCAAAGAGCCCUUGAUCCUGACGUGACUAUAAUACUGAUUUCUGCCCAUGAAUGAGAACUGGAGGUCCAGCCUUUUUCCCUGCCAUGAAUGAGCAAGUAAAACAAGAGCUUGGACCUUUCUGGAAAAAGAAGGGUGGUAUCAGGCACCCAUAUCCGCACCUUCUUUCUGUCUCUUGACUCCUAUGUAUUUAAUUAAAUCUUUGGUUUUUUUGAACACA